CCGAUCCCCCCCCCGCUUCCAGGAGGGACACAAAGUAACUUCCUCCCUCCCUCUUCUCCCGCGGCCUGUCAGGCUGGGGCGACGGGCGCCGCGGGUCCUGCGCCGGAGCGGAAUCGGAUCGGGAUCGGGAUCGGGAUCGGGAGCGCGUUGCGGUGUUCUUCCAGCUCCUCCAGAGACUUCUCCGGCUGGUUCAGUGUGCAGCUGAUUGAUGCACUCCUGGAAACAUUAGUUUACCUCUAGGGGUUCUUUUCAUUCCCCGCCUAAUGGAGCAAAUGCAGUGGCUGAAGGAUAAAUGAGAAAAAUCCAGGGAGAAUCAGAACCUGAUGCAGGUAGUGCAACAGGGGGAAAAACCCAACAGAGCAGUGUCAGUAAAGGUGUAUGUGGGAAUGGUGCACUUUCUGUCAAUGGUGUGGCGCAGGCUGCUGAGGAAGCGUUGGGUCCUGGGUAUUGUAUUUGGACUCUCCCUCAUCUAUUUCCUUACCAGUACUUUCAAACAGGAAGAGAGGACAAUACGCGAUCGGAAUCUUCUCCAGGUACAGGAACAUGAGCCCAUCAUGUGGAAGGUGCAGUUCAGCCUGGGAAAUAGCAGUCAGCUGAGUAACCAGUGCAGAAAUUCUGUCCAGGGGAAGCUAUUCAUUACGGAUGAGCUGGGCUACGUCUGUGAAAGGAAGGACGUGUUGGUGAACGGCUGUUGUAACGUCAAUGUGCCUAGCGCAAAGCUCUAUAGUUGUGAGAGCUGCCUGCCCAACGGUUGUUGCAGCGUGUACGAGUACUGCGUUUCCUGCUGCCUGCAGCCCAACAAGCAACUUCUCCUGGAGCGUUUCCUGAACCGGGCAGCUAUCGCUUUCCAGAACCUCUUCACGGCUGUGGAAGAUCACUUUGAGUUGUGCUUGGCCAAGUGCAGGACUUCAUCACAGAGCGUGCAGCACGAAAACACCUACAGAGACCCCAUUGCAAAGUACUGCUAUGGCGAGUAUCCCCCUGAGCUCCUGCCUAUUUGAAAGCUGCAAAAUCUGAACUAACAUGGGGAAAACAAACUGAGGACUGGCGUCUGGAACAGCAAGACAAGAGCUUAAACUCUCAUCUUGAGAUUUCCAAAGACAAACAGAGUGAUUUGCAAUCUCAGCUUGGGACUUAUUUCUGUGGGAAAACCUCUCCUAUUAAGAGGGAAGAACAGGACAGACCUGCCAUGGAUGGGUGGGGGGGAAUCCUUUGAAUGGUUAAUCUAACUGAAGGGCUACCAUUUAGGAUACACGCAAUGGAUUUAGUCUAUAGAUCAGCCUAGAAAAGGGCAUAAUACAGCCUUUCAUCUAUACAUAGAAGUUAAAUUAUAUCUCCAAAGAACAUGGACUUUAGACCGACUGCUGUAGAUAUGAAGAGGGAUUUUUUGUGCUUAAAAGGUGCAGUCCGUAUGACCAGCAGAUAGAGCACUGAAGUGAGAGCCAAGGGACCUGGGUUUUAUUUCCAGCCCUGUCACUGAUCUGCUGUGUGACCCUGGGUAAGUCACUUCAUCUCUCUGUUUCCCCUCCCCGUUUUGUGUCCCUUGUCUAUUUAGAUUGUAAACUCUUUUGGGCAAGGACUCCAUGUAUGUACAGUGCCUAGUACUAUUGGCCUUCAUCUCAGAUGGGGCUCGUGGUCUUAUUUUAAUACAAAUUAUACCUAGCUCUUGUGUAGAUUUACAAGCAGAAAGUGCAACAGUCUGAUAAGAGGGUGAUAAGGGAGGGUAUAACUUCCUGGAAGACUGUCUGGGUAGCCCAAACUGUUCUGCAAAUACACAGUCCUGAUCCAAACACGGCAUGAAAAAUGAAGCUUCCAACUGUGUAGACUGCCACUCUGUAUGGAGGUUGGAGAAUUACAUCCUAUUUCAAAUGUAUUAAUGUGUCCAAAUCACAUUUUCAGGGCCCCUUUGUAGUAAUUUACAUGGCUCUAUCAUCCCAGCAAGUAAACUCAUUCAUACUUGGAUGGACAGUUCAUAGUUUGCAUAAUAUAUAAACUUGAAAUCCCCAUGUCUUUUAAAAAGUCCAUGACAGUUAUGAGUAAUCAAUUCACCACCCCUCUUACUUUCUUCACCCCCUCUUUACUUUGAUCAGUUUUUGUUGAGAUCAACUGCCAGGAAGGCAGGCUGAGGCUAACACCAAUGUAACACCAUUGAUCAGCCAGCAGAGGUUACUAUAAGACUUAAGUAGCAUUCUCCCAUUCAGGAUGAAGUCUGGCAUGUGUCCCUUUGAGCUACUGAGACAAAACUUCACUUGGCAAAAAACAGGAACGCUUUCUGAGUGCAGGGGACAAAAGGUGAUCCAUGUUCCUCAAGGAAAUGUGCAAUUCCUCCUGUAUUGCCAACUCUUCUUCUUCAACAGUACUGCAGUCAAAGGGCAAACAAACCCACAAAAACCCCAAAAAGUUAAGGCUGCUUGGGUUUUUAACAUUUCACCCUCAUGCUUAGGUGUUGUCAUACAGAGUGUGUCAUCUAGAUAAGUCACUGGUUUGAGGCAGCCUAAUUCACAACCACUGUAAUAAAGAAAAGUACCUGACCCUGGGAGAAACAAAAGAGAUGGUAUCGCACUACACAGCAAACUGCCAACAGCUCAGCAAUGACAAAUGUACCCCUCCGAUCAAGCCCCAAACAGACAAUGAGUAACUUUCCGAGGCGAUCUUACUUACUUCUGACGGAUAACUGCCAGUAUAACUGUCUCUUCGAGCUUGUCAUGCCCACAAAGUCUCCUUGACUUGACCUGUGUGCACCCUGCAGCAUGGAGAUAGCAAGGACUGAGUUUGCAGUACCGAGCCGGUCUGUUGAUUUGCUUUUGCAGAGCAACUGAAAGUCCCGUGCGGAUUCGGUGCAGCAAACGCUGGUCAGAACUGUCUGGUCGGGCAGGGCUGGAGGAGUCGUCACAGGAACGCGGCUCCAGGAGUAAAGCUGAGAGCGGACGCGCUCAAAUUCCAGUGAGAUGUACCAGCAAGAGUCCCGCCCCCAGCUCCUGUUCUGACCAAUGAUGGUCAAGCGUUGGUGGCAGCCUUCCUGCGUUUUUCUUGCCCCUCUCCCCCCACACUGUCACUGUGGGUGGGCUGCUGAGACCUGCUUCCCCUCUCCGGGAGCCUCAUCGAGAAGGGGGCAGCCAGCCUCAGGGAGCGGGAGAACCGCUGAGAAAAUUCUCUCCUGCCCUAGUGCAAAGACAAAUGGCGGGGAGGGGACAACCCCUCAGCUGCCCCUUUCCACACAACCGAGUGGGGUAGCAAGGGAGAGUGGAGACGUACUCAGCGCUCCCCAGCCCUGGACCCCAGGACAGAGGCAACUACAGGAGAAGGGUGACACCCUGGUAUCUGAGAAAAGCAGCUGCUAGGAGGGGAUGGGAGAGCAAAGCCCCCCUUCUUCCCCCCAGCCAUCACCUGCCUCAGGACAGUGGGUGAGUUCUGAGCGUUCUUUUGGUUUUCAAGUCCCCUCCACCCACUUGUGUAUCCAUAUACUCAAGGAGGGUUCAGAGAUGCAGCCCCCUUUCACGUCAUGGUUGCCUGAGGCCUUGUCCACACACAGACACACACGUUUAGUUAAAUUGGCGCAAACCCCGGCACACACACACACGUUUAGUUAAAUUGGCGCAAUCCCCGGCAGGGACGCUCUUAUUCUGCUCUAGGAGGGGCUUAUUUAAAGUCAGUUUAAACCUGCUUCUAGUGGAGUUUAAGCUAAACCCCCAUAAGCUCUGUUUUAACCGAAACAAGCAGGCACACAGAGGGCCUUGUGCAUCCGUGUAAUUAAACCGGUUUAAAAUCACGCCUUUAAAAAGGUGCAACUCUGGGUCUAGGCAAGCCCUGUGAGGUCCUCUCCCAUUCCAGAACACUGGAGUGCUGUGCGUCUGCUCCAGCUCUUUCCAUUCCUUUAUUUCCUUCAUUCCCUGACACCCACCAUCACCAUUUCCACUGUCUCCUUUCUGGAUUCUUUGCCUUUCCUUCAGGCCCUAUACCUCUCCCCACCCCCACCUAUCAGGUAUUUCCUCUACUGUUCAAUAUGUGUAAUAACCCAGCCACUCCCAGUCUCUAUUCAAACCCAAGUUAAUGGUAUCUAGUUUGCAUAUUAAUUCAAGCUCAGCAGUUUCUCGUUGGAGUCUGUUUUUGAAGCUUUUCUGUUGCAAAAUUGCCACCCUCAAAUCUUUUACUGAGUGGCCAGAGAGGUUGAAGUGUUCUCCUACCGGUUUUUGAAUGUUAUGAUUCCUGAUGUCAGAUUUGUGUCCAUUUAUUCUUUUGCGUAGAGACUGUCCGGUUUAGCCCUGUAUAGACAUACAACAAAAAGAUGGACCCUGCCCCAAAGGGUUUACACUUAUUUUUUCCGGGUCAAUAGGUCCUAUUCUUUCUGCAUCUUACUGAGGACCUCUAGAUAGCUAAAGAAAGAGAAGGGCCACUGGUUAUGAGAUCCUGGCUCAAUGCCAGCACAGUUUAUUGCAUGUUGUUUGUUUGUAAGGGGAAUAAGACAUGGGAGGGAGGGGCAAAGUACUAUGUGGGCUCAGUAGCGCCUCUCGACACUUGACUAUUUCAAUAUUUUUUUAAAUGGUGAAAGGACUCAGUAAUGACACAUGAACUAAAUCCUUGCGAAUGAUCAAUUGAAACGCUCUUUUGGGGUUAGAGCUUUACAAACAAUUGACCUGGAGCUAGCUCACUUCCUUAUAACUGCAGCUUUAGGUUGAAAAGUUAUUUUUUAAGAAUAUCAAGAGGGUUUGUGAUUUCUGUGUCUUUGGUGACUCCAGAGCAAGUCUUUCUCAGUGUACAAGUAUAAAGAUGCUUUUUUGAACUGCCUGUCCUGCAAACCCAAACUGGGAUUGGAGAGUCAAGCAAGGAUCUUUCUGGACCAUGCGUAAUCACCCAUCAUUUUUUUUAAAUUAAUAUUUAUUUUUAUUUGCAUUUUGAUGCUGGAUCAUUUAAGGUUCACAGUUUCAAGCUUUCCUCUGCAACUAUGAGGUCUACAGUCUUUUUCUUAAAGGAAAGCUGAGUGUGUCAGGUAAUGAUCUAAUUCCAGAAACUGGGGCUUUAGGAGAAGCACCAACUAUCAUAAGACUCACAAUAAGAUUAUAAGAGGUGGCACCACUGAGACCUAAGUUAGUUCUGCAGAUUAAUGAAGUUAAAACCCAGCUUCCUCUCUCAGCUCUGUGCUGAUUCGGUAGGGCUAAUAGGAAUAAAUUAAAUUGUCAUUCAAUAAGAAGAUCGUUGGAACACACACCAGGAGCAGAUCUGUUAAAUAAGCUGUCACUUAUACAAAGUCACUUUUCUGACCCUAAUAAUAGGUUUUCGGGUCCUACAACUCAAAAAAAUGACUUGAUGGGUCAAAUUUGUUUAAGGGCCAAAUCCAGAAGAUAGGAUUUAGGGCAAAGUUAAUGAGCGUUUUGGUUGGGUAGGGGGAUGAAGGUUUUAGACUGAACUGGGAUUCUCCCUGGCAUCGUUUUCAGCUUGAUCCCAUUUCAAACAGCUGAGAGAUUCAUUCCUGAAAACUAAGGUUCGUGAUAGAAACUCUGCAAGGGACCAGGCCAUUAAAACAAACUAAGCUAUUUGUGAGCACAGAUGAAAUGUUUUUGAUGUCCCACUGUGUGCACUUGUCACAACCCUGCCCCAUCAAGGUUCGAGGGGGAAAGCGACUGGCUGGUAGUUGCUUAAUCAGAUGGAGAUGUUGAUUUUCAGGUAACCAAGUCAGGGUGAGGUUUGCGUGCUCUGUCGCUUUUAACAUAAUGAAUACGCUUUUGCUUGUUUCUCAUGACGGUGGCAGCAGCAGCAUGUGAUCUGUGUCACUGUCAAAAGGAAAGUGAGAUGUAGUUAAUACAGAGCUGCACAACAAAGAAAUAUUGAUCAGGUCUCUCCACGCUAUGCUUGAGUAUCUGCAGUGACAAUGGAUAGCGCAGCAAAUAGGGAUGGCAGAACAAAAAACAUUGUGUCCCAAGAUCAAGGACAUGAUGGGGCAGGCCAUGUAGCUUCAGUGCUGAGCAGCACCAGUGUGGAAACAAUUCAGCUCCCAUCCUCAAGCGUUUUCCCCCAAGACACUAAAUCCAAGUGAAGUGAAAGACACCUUGUUCAUGUCAUGAAUGUGUCUCAGAUAUAGUAGCUAUCGUGUUAAAAUCAGAGGCUCGCUAAAGACAAGCUAGAGCAGAUUGGCUUGUCCAAAGAGUCCCCACAUUUGGUGACUCCAAACACUAAAAUAAAAUCAAGUAGUUUAUGCUUUGGUCAGUCCAGGUCAGGUAUACUUUGUGUAAGACAUUAAGCAGUUUUAGGAGUUACCAGAGCGCUUCAAAGGGAGUUGUAAAAUGGGUUUUGUGCUGCAUCACACUGCACUGUCUACAGUAGUUAUAUUUCAGCUUGAAUGGACUAUUAUAUAUUUUGACAGGAUGUUUUAUUCUAAGAUAUGUGGUUUCUUUAUGGAAUUUUUAAAUUCUCUUUUUUAAAAGCAAAACAUAUGAAACAAAAAACCAAACACAUUAGACGCUAGUUGUUACAUAAUCAAAAAAUGACGGCUAAAGUUAACUUUUUUUAACUUGACUCAACUUGUGUUUCUUCAAUUUACUGUCAAAGGCAUCCAGGAUCUUGUAUUCUUUGGUUGGAAUUUUUAUGAUCUACAUAAAUUGACAAUUUAUGCUUUUAAGUUAAUAUUUAGCUAUUUAAAUAAGCGCUCUCACUUAUUUUCUCUCAGCAGUUCCCAUUACAGUCAAUGGGUGCUCAGCACUUCUGAAAAAUGAGGACAUUUAUUUAGAAGCCUAACUUUAGCAUUUCAUUUUAUGACUGUGAUUUUUAACAAUAAAAUAGCCUACAGUCAUCACAUGAGAUCAUAAUAAUUCACAACUAUUUUUAUUAACUAACAACUGACAAAGGGCCCCUUAAGUUGUCUGCAAGUGCAACAUAUCUAACUGUUCCUUCCAGUCAAUUUCACUUAACAAUGGAUGCUUUAUUUUUGGUUUUGUGCUGGAGGGAAGGAGUUGUAUGCUAACGGAUCUGCUAAUUUCCCUCAAAUCUUUCCAACUCUAGUUGUAGGUGGAAAACUCUUAUUACGUAAAGUAACAGAGCUGCAAUGGUAACGUGGUUCCCUGCUACUUCCCACCCCAUCGUUGUCCCCCCCACUCCUACAGUUCUCUCCCUACUGUUGGCUUUGGCCUAGUCUACACUUAAACCAUAGGUUGACCUAGCUAUGUUGCUCAAGGCUAUGAAAAAUUUUGCACUCUGAGUACCGUAGUUAAGUCGAACUGACCCUCGCUGUAGACAGGACUAAGUCGACGGCAUUUAAGGAGCCUUCCGUUGACCUAGUUACCACCUCACGGAGAGAUGGAUCAACUACAUCGAAGGAAAAACACCUUCUGUUGACAUAGGAAACCUCCAUGCUACGGCAGUACAGCUACGGCACUGCAGCGGUGGUGUAGACGUAGCUUUCAUCACAACAUCCCCAUGGUGAUCCCUAUGUAAUUCCUCAUUAUCUUCCCUGAAUUAUCUUUAAGGGCCCAAUCUUGUAAACUCUCUAUUUCUAGUGACUUUCAUGGGAGCCUAGACUGCUGAGUAUUCUCGCUGACUGCAUCCUGUCCUAUGACUAGUGUCCUUGUCCUUCAUAGCUAUGCUAAUGCAGUAUAUUACUGUCCCUUAUAAUCCUUUAUUAUUGCACACUGAAGCAUGAUCUUCAACCUCGCUCCAUCAUUUUGCCACUGACACCGGUUUUGCCAUCCUCAGUGUAAUCUAUCAGUGUUGUCAGUGUCAUCAUCCUGAACAGUAUUUAUUGCGGCAUGCUUUUGUCUCAUCGCUGUGAUUAUGUGAGCUUCACUGAUUGUACUACAUCUAUCACCUCAUUACUGAAAUAAAGUUAACGUUAAUGGGAGUCAUGCGGCUAACCCCCUGCUCA